CACGUAGGGCGCAAGCGUUGUCCGGAAUUAUUGGGCGUAAAGAGCUCGUAGGCGGUCUGUUGCGUCCGCUGUGAAAACCCGGGGCUUAACCCUGGGCUGGCAGUGGAUACGGACAGACUAGAGGUAGGUAGGGGAGAAUGGAAUUCCCGGUGUAGCGGUGAAAUGCGCAGAUAUCGGGAGGAACACCGGUGGCGAAGGCGGCUUUCUGGGCCUUACCUGACGCUGAGACGCGAAAGCGUGGGGAGCGAACCGG
rnacentral:rRNA from 1 species